UCCAACUGACAGUUGGAGUCGGCCGUUUUGGGGAUUUUAUAUAAAAACCGUUUUUGCUAGAAUUCGUUUUUAUAUUCCUGACGAGGUCCAGUUACGGAAUUUAAAAGUUUUUUUAUUACUGACCUAGCCGUGGUAUUAAUUGUUUCAGUGCAUGAGACAACUUUCUCCAUUUUUGCAGUGAAGUCAGCGGACAUUCGGAAAUUCAGACAUUCAAAUUUCCCAAACAAAUUCAAUUUUACCCCCUCAAAAUGGCACAGCCAAUCACAGCGCAGUACGCGUGACGCCAGGAAAACGUGGAGGGGGUGGCUGAUUGGUUUCUACUAGUACACAUUUCUCUUUUUAGAGUAAUGUAAUGGUAUAAGAAGCAAUGGAGAAAUUCAGUCAAGUGGACGAGAGUAUCGGUGAAUUUUUUAAUUUAUGAUUAUUUUAAAAAAAACUGUCAAUUGGGUGUAAAAUAACGCAUCUUUAUCUCUUUAGAUUAAUGGAACGCAUAUGAAAUUAUGGAGAAAUUUUACCAAGUGGAUGAGAAUAUCGAAUAUUGGAAUGGCAUAAAAAGCCAGAGAAUUUAGCCAAGCGGACAAGAACGUCGAUUAAUUGGAUGACUUUGAAACCAAAGGAUAAUUCCACCAAUUGAACGAGAAGAUCGG